UACCACCGACCGGUAGCGGCGGUGAGUAAAACCGGCUGACCUUAUAAAAAAGUCGCUUGGAUCGGGAACGACCGAGACGGCCAU
rfam:Chloroflexi bacterium RBG_16_58_8 RBG_16_scaffold_63548, whole genome shotgun sequence.